rnacentral:lncRNA from 1 species
CCGGCAAAUGAGUUGAAAAUGGGUCAAACAAAACUGAACUCGCUCAUAUUUCAUACACUAAUGGGUAUGAUCACUUUGCUUUUCAGGUUGACCAUUAGAUUUCUGAGAAUCCAGCAAGUUAAAUCAUCACAAAGAGGCAGAGGCUAAGCCAGAACAUCUGUGUUGAAACUGCAGCUGAAAGAAGCACACCAUUUCGUCAUUAAUAAGCUUCAAACAUACUCCAGUAGCCUUGAAAACAUGAUGUGUGAGAACCUUAAAAAGAGCACAUCAAUAAUGCACUACUUUGACAUAUGAACUGAACAUCACAACUCACAAGUGCAAUAAAUAAUGUUUCCACUAGAUUAAGCUGAUUGAAUAAAGAUUGAUUUUCACAAGAGAUGGGAACAGUGAAAAACAACCAACAUAAGCUUAAACCAACAUACUGAGACAUCAUUGACUGUUAGAACUUAUACAUCCAUGUACUCAGGGCAAAGGACUAUACUGUGUACCUACUUCACAUUCGAGUAAACAAGCAAGCAAGGGAAAUACCAUUAUUACUAGUAUCAAUUUAUCAAACACAAUCUUAUCUAGUAUAUUCAAACGUUUCCAAGUCAUGUUGGAUAGGAAGUUAAAAUGAGAAAUCUGGCAAGGAGACACCUCAUAUAUUAUGCAUUAGUAAUCUUGAAUACGAAUCAUGAUGAGCUUAAAUGAAGUAAGAUAAUAAAGAUUCAUAGAGUCGCCCCAACUAGCUUGAAGUGAGGCGUGAUAGUGGUUGUUAAUUGGAAGUCAGUGAGAAUGACAUAAAGAAAAAUCCAUCUGCUUAGAUACACGAAAUUCUGUCAAUAGCGACAGAUAAAUGUGCAAGCACAGUAAGAUAGAAAAAAUAAGUACCGCUGCUGCAUCUCAGUAGCAGGGACUGGACUGGAAAAGGAAACAUCCAUAACUGAAUCCAUUAAACAAUAAAAUGAUUGCCAAGACCAUAAUAGAUUAUCUGCAUUUCAAGAACAAGGAAAUAUUGUUUAGAUGAGUCAAUAUCAUCUUACCAAAAUAUUGCGAGUCGAGUCGUCAGAACAAACAGUUGAGAUAAGUACCUCAGAAAUCGACAAUAAAGCUGCCAAGAAAAAACAUGAGAACAUUCAUGAUUUGGAAGUUCACUAAGGUGUAUUCAGACAGUCAAUUGGAAAGUUUUUGGCAACUGAUUUUCUUUUCACUUGGUUAUUUGGCAACUCUCUUAUUUGCUCACUCUUAGAUAUUUCAAUUAUCAUAUAGAAAAUAUUUAAUACUCCCUUGUCUUAAGAUUCGUUGCUUAACAAGCCUUGACCACUAAACUAAAGGCCUAAAAUUGUGAAGAUUCACCAAAUCCAGCAUUCACCCAUCCACUCCAACCCCAAAUCCCCACUCCCAUUUUUUUUUAUAGAGAAUCUAAGAUUUCUCUCAUUGGAGUUCUAUUGUCAAUAGUUGAGAAAUUACAGUAAUCAAAAUUGAUGAGCUGUCACAAAAGGGAAAACAGAAUAGAUCAAAGUUAAUGACCCCGUAUCAUGAUUAAUCUAUUUCCAUAAAUAAAUGACCAGCUGUAGUCUACUGAUUUCUUAUCUGUCUAUAUAUUUUAUCCGUCGCCUCAGUCAGACAUUUUUAGAUUUUGAAAGCAAAUCCAACUCUAACGUUAGCAACAGUAGCUUCAACCUGAUUUGAACAGGAAUCAUUCAGAACCAGAUUUUAUGGGUAAACAAGGGCCAUGUUGCCAUUGUAGCAUCAAGCGUAAGUUCUAUUAACCACCUAUAUCCCGCCUUUUAUGUUUAUCAAUAAUCUCUUGCUUUACAGGAUAAUUGAUUCAGUGAUAUUUAGAAUUUAUGUGCCUGAUGUUAAGCAAAUAAACAUUGAAGAAUCACAUGCCUGAAACACUAAAUAACCAAAUUUCCCUAAAUUGCCGAUCUGUUAAACAUAAAACAUAGCGAACUUGAAUUUUCUCACCUCUCGAGCCAAAUGUUAAUUGAUUUUCAAAACAGCUCCCCUUAGUCUAACAGGAACCGAGGUCAUCUUGGAUAAAUUGUAGAUUUGGUCCCCAAUCCCUGGCAUAGAU